CCUACGGGAGGCAGCAGUGGGGAAUAUUGGACAAUGGGCGAAAGCCUGAUCCAGCAAUACCGCGUGUGUGAAGAAGGCCUUCGGGUUGUAAAGCACUUUAAGCAGGGAAGAAAAAAUUCAAGCUAACAUCUUGAGUCUUGACGGUACCUGAAGAAUAAGCACCGGCUAACUCUGUGCCAGCAGCCGCGGUAAUACAGAGGGUGCAGGCGUUAAUCGGAUUUACUGGGCGUAAAGCGUGUGUAGGUGGUUGGGAAAGUCAAUUGUGAAAGCCCCGGGCUCAACUCGGGAACUGCUUUUGAUACUGUCUGACUAGAAUUCGGUAGAGGGAGGCGGAACUCCAGGUGUAGCGGUGAAAUGCGUAGAUAUCUGGAAGAACACCAAUGGCGAAGGCAACCUCCUGGGCCUGAAUUGACACUGAGACACGAAAGCGUGGGGAUCAAACAGGAUUAGAUACCCUGGUAGUCCACGCCGUAAACGAUGACAACUUGACGUCGGUUUGCUCUGCGAAUCGGUGUCGUAGCUAACGCGAUAAGUGUCCGCCUGGGGNGACGCGCGAGUAGAACGUAAGUAGAGUAGAGCGNGAGAGNGCGAGACGACGACGAGGAGGAGG
rnacentral:rRNA from 1 species